UACGUAGGGUGCGAGCGUUGUCCGGAUUUAUUGGGCGUAAAGAGCUCGUAGGCGGCUCGGUAAGUCGGGUGUGAAACCUCCAGGCUCAACCUGGAGACGCCACCUGAUACUGCUGUGGCUAGAGUCCGGUAGGGGAGCGUGGAAUUCCUGGUGUAGCGGUGAAAUGCGCAGAUAUCAGGAAGAACACCCGUGGCGAAGGCGGCUCUCUGGGACGGUACUGACGCUGGGACGCGAAAGCGUGGGGAGCGAACAGG
rnacentral:rRNA from 1 species